UGGAAGUAAAAAGUCGUAACAAGGUUUCCGUAGGUGAACCUGCGGAAGGAUCAUUAACCUUUCAAAACAGGGUGCGUCGCGGCCCCCGAGGUGCGGAAACAAGCCUCGAGCGGUUUGGGGUCCUCCCCUUCACGCGCGCACGACUGCCAUCCUUACUUUACGAGCACCUUCUGUUCUCCCUCGGCGGGGCAACCUGCCGUUGGAACCGAAUAAACUCUUUUUGCAUCUAGCAUUACCUGUUCCGAAACAAACAAUCGUUACAACUUUCAACAAUGGAUCUCUUGGCUCUGGCAUCGAUGAAGAACGCAGCGAAAUGCGAUAAGUAGUGUGAAUUGCAGAAUUCAGUGAAUCAUCGAAUCUUUGAACGCACAUUGCGCCCCUCGGUAUUCCGUGGGGCAUGCCUGUUCGAGCGUCAUCUACACCCUCAAGCUCUGCUUGGUGUUGGGCGUCUGUCCCGCCUCCGCGCGUGGACUCGCCCCAAAUUCAUUGGCAGCGGUCCUUGCCUCCUCUCGCGCAGCACAUUGCGCUUCUUGAGGGGCUCCGGUUCGCGUCCAACAAGCACAUUUACCGUCUUGACCUCGGAUCAGGUAGGUA
rnacentral:rRNA from 1 species